GGUGACCUGCGGAAGGAUCAUUAUUGUAUAACACGAGACAUUGAGGCUGUCGCUGACGAAAGUCGUGCACGCCUUGGUGUUCUUACAUCCAUUUCACCCUUGUGCAUCAUCGCGUGGGCCGUUCCCAUUGGGAAUGGUCUACGUUUUUAAUACAAACCCCUAUUGAUGUGUAGAAUGUGUACUUUGCGAUAACAACGCAACUAAUACAACUUUCAACAACGGAUCUCUUGGCUCUCGCAUCGAUGAAGAACGCAGCGAAAUGCGAUACGUAAUGUGAAUUGCAGAAUUCAGUGAAUCAUCGAAUCUUUGAACGCACCUUGCGCCUCUUGGUAUUCCGAGGGGCACGCCCGUUUGAGUGUCGUGAAAUUCUCAACCCUCUUGGUUUUCUUUUGAAGGCUAAGAGGGCUUGGACUUGGAGGUUCUUGCUGGCAGCACUUUGCGAUCAGCUCCUCUUAAAUGCAUUAGCGAGGUUCUCUUUGCUGACCUUUGGCGUGAUAAGUAUCUACGUCUUUGGUGUGGCUCUGCUGUUAGAACCUGCUUCUAAUCGUCUCUUUGCUGAGACAACUUGAGUCCUCUUUAUUGAGCUCUAACUCACACCCUUGACCUCAAUCGGGCGGGACUACCUGCUGAACUUAAGCAUAUCAAUAAGCGGAGGAAAAGAAACUAACAAGAUUCUCCUAGUAACUGCGAGUGAAGCGGGAAAGCUCAAAUUUAAAAUCUGGC
rnacentral:rRNA from 1 species